GGUCCGCUGGCGUAAUGGCAGCGCGUCUGACUACGAUUCUCAUUAUCGGGAUUAUCAGGAGGUUCCAGGUUCGACCCCUGGGCGGAUCG